rnacentral:rRNA from 1 species
AUGGAGGCGGAGCAGCAGAAGCCGCAGCGCCCGCGGCGCAAGGCGCAGAAGCGCAGGAUUGACGACGAGGCCGCCGCCUCGGCCGCCGCCGCCGCCGCCGCCGUCUUGUCGCCGCUCGGCAGCGCCGAUGCCGACGACGACAACGAGGACGACGAGGGCUCCGUCGGCCCCGAGAUCUGCUGCCGCCAGUCCCAGGUGGCGGUCGCCCGCGAGGUCCGCACGCAGGUCGACGCCCUCCACCACUGCUUCUCCUGGCGCCACGCCGACCGCGCCACCGCUAAGCGCGCCACCAGCGUCCUCGCGGAGCUCGCGAAAAACGAGGAGAUGGUGAACGUAAUCGUAGAGGGCGGCGCCGUGCCGGCGUUGGUGUGCCACCUGAAGGUGCCCCAUAUGGCGGCGGCGGUGGAGGAGGAGCAGCAGCCGCGGCCGUUCGAGCACGAGGUCGAGAAGGGGGCUGCCUUCGCUCUCGGGCUCCUAGCUGUAAAGCCUGAACAUCAACAACUUAUAGUUGAUGCUGGUGCCCUACCCCUGCUGGUGAGUCUCCUAAGAAGGCAUAAAAAUGCUACAAAUUCGAGGGCAGUUAACAGCCUUAUCAGAAGAGCAGCUGAUGCAAUUACCAACCUUGCUCAUGAGAAUAGCAACAUCAAAACUUGUAUCAGAAUUGAAGGCGGAAUCCCACCUCUCGUUGAAUUGCUAGAAUCACAGGAUAUUAAGGUGCAGAGGGCAGCUGCAGGGGCCUUGAGGACUUUGGCGUUUAAAAAUGAUGAAAACAAAACCCUGAUCGUUGAUUGCAAUGCAUUGCCAACAUUAAUCUUAAUGCUGCGGUCAGAGGAUGCUGCAAUUCACUAUGAAGCAGUUGGUGUCAUUGGAAAUUUGGUCCAUUCAUCCCCAAAUAUCAAGAAAGAGGUUCUUAAUGCGGGGGCCUUGCAACCUGUAAUUGGGCUAUUAAGUUCCUGCUGUACGGAAAGCCAAAGAGAAGCUGCUUUGUUGCUAGGGCAGUUUGCUUCGGCCGACUCUGAGUGCAAGGUCCAUAUUGUGCAACGGGGGGCAGUCCGACCACUAAUUGACAUGCUACAGUCAGCUGAUUUCCAACUCAGGGAGAUGUCAGCCUUUGCCCUUGGGAGGCUUGCACAGGAUACACAUAACCAAGCAGGUAUUGCAUACAAUGGUGGCUUGUUACCUUUACUAAAGCUUCUCGACUCAAAAAAUGGUUCUCUGCAACAUAAUGCUGCGUUUGCUCUUUAUGGAGUUGCCGACAAUGAGGAUUAUGUCUCUGACUUCGUUAAAGUAGGAGGUGUCCAAAAGUUGCAGGAUGGCGAAUUUAUUGUCCAGGCUACAAAGGACUGUGUAGCUAAGACAUUGAAGAGGCUGGAGGAGAAGAUAAAUGGACGAGUAUUAAAACACUUGGUUUAUCUCAUGAGAGUAGGAGAAAAGUCUGUGCAGAGGCGUGUUGCUCUGGCUCUUGCACACCUCUGUGCCCCUGAAGAUCAGCGAACAAUUUUUAUUGAUAAUAAUGGUCUCGACUUGCUUCUUGAUCUUCUGGUUUCGGGCAGCUCGAAACAUCAACAGGAUGGUUCGGUAGCACUAUACAAAUUAGCCAACAAAGCUGCAGCACUCUCUCCGAUGGAUGCUGCACCUCCAUCUCCAACGCCACAGGUUUAUCUUGGGGAGCAAUAUGUGAACAGUUCGACACUUUCAGAUGUCACCUUCUUGGUGGAAGGAAAACGCUUUUAUGCACACAGAAUUGCUCUGCUUGCUUCUUCAGAUGCAUUCCGUGCAAUGUUUGAUGGUGGAUACAGGGAAAAGGAUGCAAGAGACAUAGAAAUUCCAAAUAUCAGGUGGGAUGUGUUUGAACUCAUGAUGAGAUUUAUCUAUACAGGGUCAGUCGAAGUAACCAAUGAGCUUGCUCAAGAUCUUCUUAGAGCUGCAGAUCAGUAUCUGUUAGAAGGCCUCAAACGCCUAUGUGAAUAUACAAUUGCGCAGGAUGUUAAUUUAGACAACGUCUCUGAUAUGUAUGACUUAUCCGAAGCCUUUCAUGCCAUGUCACUGAGACAUACAUGCGUCUUGUUUAUUUUGGAGCAGUUUGAUAAGAUCUGCACCAGACCCGGUUUCUCUCAGCUAAUCCAGCGCGUCAUCCCUGAGCUCCGCAACUUCUUCGCUAAGGCACUAAGGCCAGGCCACCGGAGUGCGCAACCAUGA